AUGGGGGUGUGGAGAGCUUGGGCGAUUUGCCUUCCAGGCCGGCAGAGGGAUUGAGAGCUCUGGAAUUCAUCAGAGCAGUCUGAAUUCUAGUUCUGGUGUGGAAACAGUAGCGUAGGCCUCUGGUUCUUCAAUCAUACAGUGGGAGAACACCUUCCCCAUGGGGUUGCUCGGGAGGUGAAAUAGGGUGACAUCUGAAAGCAGUCAGGAGCUGUUAGGAGUGGGAGCAGAAUCAGAACUGAAGCCGGGUGUGUCGGCUACAGGAGCCUGCAUCCUGGACUCAUUGGUCUCACAGUCUCUGUCUGAGCACCGGGGUGAUCCCUGGGUUCUGUGCUCCAGGAGGGGGCUGGCUCCUCCCUCCAGGCUGCCCUAGAACCAGCGCCCAGGCCCCCUCCCCACUUCCUGGGAGGCAGGGCAUGCAGUGUGGUGCAGGAGAGGUGAUGGGGAGGGGGUGGCAUCCAUCUGUCUGGUGUUUCCUAGGCCUCAGCUGUGCUGCUGUCUAAUCAUCCACAGAAGAUCAGUUGCAUGUCACUGGGCUAUGUUCAGAGGCAUAAUGUAUUCUCCAGGGAGCUGUGUGCACCCGAGGGCCAGGGCAAGGCAGGAAGACCCUGCUGCUCUUCCCUUUGCAGGGUCCAAGGGGGCCGUACAGCCCUUUCAAGUCACUUCAUGAGCGUUCCCAAGACCCCCUGAAGAAAUGAGGUUGGGCAGGCUGCAGGAAAACAGGCCAGGGCUCAAGGUGGCCCCUUAGCAUGUGAGUAGCCUGUACCUUGGCUGACCCAAUUCUCCAGACCCUGGCUUCAGGGUCUGCCCUGACUCUGCUUAAAAGCCUCUCAGAGACGGCGCUGCUUUUAGGACAAACUCAUCCUGGAAGGAUGGCCAGGACCCUCAGCACCCCUGCAGCAGUGCCCAGGGCGUGGCUCCAGGACCAGCCUGGGAGGGUCUCCAGCACAUCCUGCGUGACCUCGGACACUGCGUCACCCCUCCAGUGCCUCGGUCUCCUCGCCUCUAAGAUGAAGGUUGCAAUAGGACCUGCAUCACGGAUUCUGCCUGGAAAGCAGGUGCCAUUUCAUAAACAUUGGCCCGUUACCGUGAAGAUCACUGUACCCCUCCUCCAUCCCCAUCGGCCAAGACAGAGAGAGGAAGCUGGCCUGACUCCAGUGCAGUGUGUGAAGGAAGCCUGGUCUCUCCCUUCCCGUUGGAGGAGAGCAGGGGAACUUUCUCUCCCCCCCAUCAAGGUAGCUCCCGGUUGGCCGUUUAACGUGGCCAACAGGUUUUCUGGCCGCCCUUGCUCCUGAGCAGGGUGGAGACAGGGUGGCUGGAGGCAGCCCCAGGUCCCAGGAGGGGUAGCUGUGACCUGUCUGCUCUCCCACCGUUGAUGGACAAGGUUGUGUGCCCCUGCCUUGGAUGGAGUGAACCCCAAGGAGAGAUCUGGGCUUCAGCCAUUCUGCAGGGACUCCCCACAAGAAGGUUUCCAUCUGGAAGAGACGUGGGAGGGGAAGGGAAGAUGGAGAAAGGAAUAAGCUGGAUCUGGGCCUCCCUGACCAAGUAAUGAUGCUGUCGGGGGGGGGGGGGUCCCUGCAGGCCCAUGUCCCCCCACCACCUUAAGCGAGGAGCCAGGGCUGGCUGGUCAGACUUAGACAGAGAGGCCGGCAGCAAGAUGUUGCCCUCAGGCAGGGAAUCAGAGGGAGGGGGUGACUCACAGACCCCACCCCAAUCCAUUCAGCCAUAGCCAAGCCUGGAGGAACAGAGCUCUGAAUUUUGCCAAGGCUGAAGUUCUAAAUAAAUCGGAAUAAAUACUGAAAAUGCAUGCAUGCUAAGUUGCUUCAGUCAUGUCUAACUGUGUGUGAUCCUAUGGACUGUAGCCCACCAGACUCCUCUGUCCAUGGGAUUCUCCAGGCAAGAAUACUGGAGUGGGUUGUCAUGCCCUCCUCCAGGGAGUCUUCCUGACCCAGGGAUUCAACAUGCAUCUCUUAUAAGAUCAAACCUCUUAUCAAAACUCCUGCAUUGGCAGGCAGGUUCUUUACCACUAGCUCCACCUGGGAAGACCAAUAUUGAAAUAGAGGGCUGUAACAACUGGGCUGAAAAUGUGUAUAAUUUGGCUAAAUGUCUUUAAGGGAGCAGGAAAAGGGAGAUUUGGCAGAAUGCAGUUAGGGGGAAUUAUGGGGCCACAUAAAAUCAUUUCAUAUGUGUACUCAAAUAUGUCCAGACUCCUCAAUACUGGGUUAAAUGUAUUUAUUUGUUUAAUUUCUUUCUGCCUGUGUAAGCAUCUGUGCUUUUUCCUUGGUGAUGAUGUCCUUGGUCAGGCAUACUGCAGGCCUUUUAUAAAGGCUGGUUGUGUGAAUCAAUGAAUGGGCCUUGGUCUCCUGAUCCUGGAAUUACAGGGGAGAGGAAUUCAGAGUGUGUGUGUGUGAGGGGGGUCCCCAUAUCUGCCAGCUACCUGCCUGUGGCUGUACUCGUUCUAUCUUUCCCUCGGAUGGGUCCAGUUUAGGGGGUAAGGGAGGGAGUAAGGGGUCCGGCAUGUGUUUAAAGGGAGCAUCUUUCAACCAAUGGGAGCUCUACAGCGGGCGGGGCCAUGGUGGGGGGAGUGCUGGUGAGACCACCUGAGGGGGGAGCAGACCAGGCCCUGGGAGGAGGAAACGUGUGUGUGUGUGUGUGUCUGGGUGGGGUGGGGCACAGGUCCCUUCCUUCUCCUUAUCCUGCUCCAUUUUCUUCAUUUCCCCAGAAAGCCAGGGCUGCAGAGCAAAGGGAAUCACAGCAUGCCAUGAGCACGGAGGCCCAGGUGGAGGUCCACAGAUGGUUCGUCCGGAGCCCAAGGUCCGGGGCGGAGGUGGAGAGAGCGCCCCCCUGCCCUGCCAGGUCCAAAGCCAUGUCCAUCCACCUGGACGCCUGGGGAGUGGGGAUGAAGGAAGAGACGGCGCCCUUGACUGUUGACUUCUUCAGACACGUGGGACCUUCCUCUCUCCUUCUGAGCGGCUCCAGAGCUGUCGGCCCUCAGGGCGUCUCUUCUUUGAAAUCAAAUUCCUCUCUGGGUUUCUCUCUCUUUCACACACACACAUGAAUCCUCCAGACUGAAUCAGACCUCUCUUCAUUUUCCACAAACCAUUAUUUUCUUGCCCUUGUGGCUUCAGUCCCUCAGGGAGCUACUCUGACCACCCCAGGGGUUACUGUUCUUCACCAGGAGGUAAACUUCAUAAGCAGUAGGCUCGGGGAGCCCCUGCCAUGUGGUCCCAGGAGCCCCCGGAGGGCGGUCCCUCUCCCUACACCCUCGGUCCACCGGCUUCCCUCCCGAGCAACCUGGCCGCCCGGGAGGGACCACCUGCAGCAUCCGGGGACGCAGACGCGGUGGAUGCUGGUCCUUUGCGGGCCCGGCUGCUGCUCCCUCCCGAAGCCGGCUUCCUGCUCCGGAGAGGUUGGGGCUGCCGAGGCCAGGACUGAGGCAUGUGAUCCUACAAGAGAGUAAGUCUCUCCUGCAGAAGAAUAUCAAGGUUCCAUGAUUAACGUUUCAUGCGCCUUGAAGCUCUAAUGAAGUUGGCUUCUCUAAUAUCGAACUUGAUGGAAUAAUUGGUCCACGGUCUCUGCAAUGGAGAGGGAGAUGCUGCCUCGCAGGGCAAAUUGGUCUUUUCCUUCUCAUCUCAAACAUGCUUUGCUUCUGUCUCCCCUUUCCUCCCCC